AACGGAGCGAAAGCGACGUUCAACCGCAAAAGAAGCAGAGGGGGCUUAGUGGUGGGGUGACUGCGUACCUUUUGUAUAAUGGGUCAGCGACUUAUAUUCUGUAGCAAGGUUAACCGUAUAGGGGAGCCGGAGGGAAACCGAGUCUUAAUUGGGCGUUAAGUUGCAGGGUAUAGACCCGAAACCCGGUGAUCUAGCCAUGGGCAGGUUGAAGGUUGGGUAACACUAACUGGAGGACCGAACCGACUAAUGUUGAAAAAUUAGCGGAUGACCUGUGGCUGGGGGUGAAAGGCCAAUCAAACCGGGAGAUAGCUGGUUCUCCCCGAAAGCUAUUUAGGUAGCGCCUCGUGAAUUCAUCUCCGGGGGUAGAGCACUGUUUCGGCUAGGGGGCCAUCCCGGCUUACCAACCCGAUGCAAACUGCGAAUACCGGAGAAUGUUAUCACGGGAGACACACGGCGGGUGCUAACGUCCGUCGUGAAGAGGGAAACAACCCAGACCGCCAGCUAAGGUCCCAAAGUCAUGGUUAAGUGGGAAACGAUGUGGGAAGGCCCAGACAGCCAGGAUGUUGGCUUAGAAGCAGCCAUCAUUUAAAGAAAGCGUAAUAGCUCACUGGUCGAGUCGGCCUGCGCGGAAGAUGUAACGGGGCUAAACCAUGCACCGAAGCUGCGGCAGCGACACUCAGGUGUUGUUGGGUAGGGGAGCGUUCUGUAAGCCUGUGAAGGUGGCCUGUGAGGGUUGCUGGAGGUAUCAGAAGUGCGAAUGCUGACAUAAGUAACGAUAAAGCGGGUGAAAAGCCCGCUCGCCGGAAGACCAAGGGUUCCUGUCCAACGUUAAUCGGGGCAGGGUGAGUCGACCCCUAAGGCGAGGCCGAAAGGCGUAGUCGAUGGGAAACGGGUUAAUAUUCCCGUACUUGGUGUUACUGCGAAGGGGGGACGGAGAAGGCUAUGUUGGCCGGGCGACGGUUGUCCCGGUUUAAGCGUGUAGGUGUGUGUUCCAGGUAAAUCCGGUUCACUUUAACACUGAGGCGUGAUGACGAGGCACUACGGUGCUGAAGCAACAAAUGCCCUGCUUCCAGGAAAAGCCUCUAAGCAUCAGGUAACAUCAAAUCGUACCCCAAACCGACACAGGUGGUCAGGUAGAGAAUACCAAGGCGCUUGAGAGAACUCGGGUGAAGGAACUAGGCAAAAUGGUGCCGUAACU
rnacentral:rRNA from 1 species